GGUGGCUCAGUGGUAGAGUGCUUGCCUCACAUGCAUGAGGCCCUGGAUUUGAUUUUUCAGCACCA
rfam:Dipodomys ordii contig_12998, whole genome shotgun sequence.